ensembl:lncRNA
UGAUAAUAAUAAUAAAAAUAAGAAUAAUGAUAAUAAUAAUAUUAAUAAUAACACCAAUGUGUCACCUUUAAUUGCCUACAUCAGCUCAGUUUAUUUCCCUUGUAUCUGCAGCAUAACAUGUUGGCAAACUAGUAACAGCACCUGCUAUCAUAUUAGCCACACUUCUACCAUACAAGGAGAAGCUCUCUCUCCCUCUCUGCCUCCCCCCCUCCACUUUCUCUCCCUCAGUCAGGUGGGAAGCUUACCUUUGUGGUCAUGUGACACCCCAGUGAGCUGCACCGGGGUAAAGGUGACUGCUUUGUGCCGCACUGACUGUAAUUUGACUGCCGCCCUCAGAGUAUCAGUCAGUCGGCUUUUUUUCAGUCUGUGAGUGAAGUGCACCUGGAAACUUCAUUUUUAUCCCCUUCCCAAUAUGUCCAUCAGUCGGAAAAACUGGUCAGCUUUGUCCAGCCUCGCUCGUCAGUGGACGAUGGAGGACGAGGAGGAGGUCGAGAGGGAGAAGAGGAGGAGGGUGAAGAGCUCCAGCACCACCGCCGACCCAGAUUCUGACCUGAGUCCUACAAAGAGAAACACAACCACCAGUGACGGCACCACUGGGACAGACUCCAGUGAGACGUCCCAGGGCCUCAGCAGCGUGGAGCAGAUGCAGCUGGACUUUGUGGAGAUGCUGCGAGUGCGCGACGAAAAGAGGAGGAUGAGGCACGUGGAGACGCUGAGACGACAGAAGGAGGAGGAAGAGGUGGAUGAAGGAGAGGCCGGCAGAGGAGGAAGUGGCAGAGUGGAGAUACUGGGAGACCUGGAUGAGGAACAAGGCAACAAUACAUUCAAAACACAACCGCCUUCAAAACCACCCAGCAGUCCCAUCAACAACAGCAGCAGCAGCAGCAGCAGCAAAACCAGAACUAUCAUCACAAACAGACAACAUGAAAAUGGAGAGUCGUCGGGUAAGGACCCUGAUCCUAAAACGUCAUCCACCCCGACCCGCAAGUUUGUCAGUUCUGUCUCCAUCUCACUGGACAAGAGUCCCUCCGUCAGCGGUAGCACAUCUCCCAUGAGCCCACGCUCUCCGACAGCACCCCGGUCGCCCCGGGAACACUGGCCUUCACCCUGCCAGAGUCCGUCUCCUCGGGGGGUUAGAGGCCUUCUUCAGAAUGGACACGCUCAGGAGACCAGUUUGAAUGACUCUUCCGCCAAUGGAAACUUUGAACCGACGGCCAAACCUGCCUUUGUCAGACAGAGCUCCAGGACUGUAUCUUUCAGGAUGAUGAGAAAGAAAGAAGAGGAGACUUCACCGCUGCAGAGGAGUGCAAGUGUGAGGAUGGCCUCCAAGAAGUUUGAAUGCAAUACAGACCAAGAUGAAGAUGAAGACAAAGCAUCAUCUUUCCAGAGAAACUCCAGACAGAGGAUUUCAUCCAGAUCCAUCCAGGAGAAGAUGGAGAGACUGGCUCAGGCUGCACAGAAAUCAGAAGCGACGCGAUCUCCAGACAUGACCCAGAGAUCCCUGUUUCUUCUGGACGAGGUGUCCAGGAAGAGAGGCCUCUUUGAGAAGGAGCAGCCGGCACAGAGUCUCACCAGUCCGGGAGUUUCCAGACAGGAAUUUAGGAGCUUCACGUCAGGAAUGUCCGACCGGAUCAACCGCUGGAUGAACAAGGCAAACCAACCAGGGUCUUCACAUGGUCCUUCGGACUUGAGACACGUGGACAUCAAUAGUAAGAGGAGCUUGUUUGAGAACAGGGGGGAGGAAAACGUCUCAAAAGGCACCCCUGGAAAAAUCUACAAGUGAAGGCCGGUCAUUUAUUAUGCUCAACAGGAUUUCUAAUACAGCAUGACGAGAGACGGCGAUUGAGGGAUGAUUAACGGAUGCCAUGACUGACUGAUUUUCUUCUUUUUCUUUUCUUUUUUUCUUCACUGCUAAUGUGAGCAACCAGCAGGAGUCACCGAGGGGAAAAAAAGUGUUGCGUUGUAGCUUUAGAGGACUGAAAUGGAAGACACAGCUUUUAAAGUUAGGAGGCUUCUAUCAUUUACUUCUGCAUUGCUUCUCGAAGUAUAAAUAUGUCUUAUUUCAAAUGCUGAAUGUUAAAAGUCAGAGUGAGGAAAGGAGUUAAAAGGAAUGUCGACAUGAGAGGAAGAGAAAGUGGGAGAAAAAGGAAGGGCGGUGGUAUUUGUUCUUUCAAAAAAAGAAAAACCUUUUCAUGUGUUUGCAUCUGUGUAAUUUUCCAAGCACUUUAAAAGGGUGAAGGUCUUGAUGAUGUCUGUGUGCAUUGAACUUGAGCACUGCUCGAGUUGUAAUUGUAUGUUUUAUCUAAUCUGCCAAACAUAAUUUUGUGUUUCAUCUGGACUCGUGGACAAGAUUCUGCCUGUCUGAGGAAUAAAAUGUUUUCCUACUACAAACGUCUAGCAUGAAUUUAUUGCAACUGUGUCCGGUCUUUAAUGAGCGUUCACAUUCUUCAUCUUAGAGGAGGGAG